AUGAACUGUGCCUUAUCACUUCCCCUCAGAACAAGACAGGAGGAAAGGCCAUCUUCUGUGUUAUUUACUGUUAGAGCUGCAGCAAAUGGGGUGGGAUCAUGUGAUACAGAAGAGGAACUGAACUUCAAUAGUCCUGAAACAGCUGGCAGCAAAGAUGACAAAGGUACUGACAGAAAAGUUAUUUUUUUCCUCCUCAUUUUGAUGUUAUGGAUCGAUGUCCAUUCCGGUAGCAGCCUCAAAACCAUAGAUCACCUAGCGCGUGACUUCCAAGUCAACAAGAGACAUUUACAGGUUAGCAAAUGUGUUCAUUUCCCCCUUUGGCAAUUCAACAGGGAUUCUAGCCAUCUGAUUCAGCGAAGCACAUAUGGUAAAUACUUAAUGGAAUAUAAAUCUUGAGAGCACACCUUGAAAUUUAAUGAGAUUUUCAAUGGGGCUCAGGUUCCUGUUUUUCAAAAGUGCUUUUGAGAAUUAUAUCUAUUGUAACCCUCUGACAGUUAUUUAUGAUUUUAGGCAUGCAUAUACUCAAACGUUUAACCUAUCCCAUCUGUGUUAAAUCUAGUUUUAUAUCUGAAUACCAAUGUUAACUGCUCACUGACCUACAGAUAUAAUUAAAUUGCCUUUAUUCAUCGUGGAUUUUAUUACCUGACCUUAUGACAGACAUCAGAAUGUGUAUGAAGAUGUCUUUUUAUUAUUUCUGCCACAUUACUAUAUGGUUUAAAAAUAUUUUAAAAGACACUAUGACAUAUUUUGAUUUUCAUUAAUACUACUUGGCCACAAGGGAUGAAUUCCAGAAAAUAAUUUUUAUGGAUUUACUUUUACCAUACAAUAUGUCUCAGGUUUUGUAUAUCUUUAAUAUAUUCUAAAGCCACAUUCGUCUCCUGGGUGUCUGAAAGUUUUAGAGAUGUGAGCCUGCAAAAAGGCCCUUUGUUUUUAGGUGUUUGAAUUACUUCAGUCGGUGCAGCUGCUCAAACUGAAAUGGUUAAAAAAUAGAUUCCAGACCAGUGGAGGCUAACAGCAGAGUGAAGAUGGUUUUCCUUUCUUAUAUUGGAGCUGUGUGAAAUAGGAGCAAAACAUCAUUCAGUUGUAAUCUCCUUUAGCCAGUACACCUUCUGAGACUUGUCAGAUUGCGGGAGGGCACAAAAUCCAACCUUCCAGACAGCCGUUCACUCCUCAGAUGUCUGUGCUGGAUGAAGUGAUUGCUGAUCCCCAUGCUGUUUGCUGCUGUCAUUUUGCUGGAAGUUACUGCCCCCACAAUUUUGCAGCAGAGUGGUUAAUGUGAAGGAUUUCUAAUAUGAUACAGAGGAAAAAACAGCUGGGUUAGCUAAACAGUUUGUUCUCUCUCACUUCUCUCAGUUCUCUCUCUCUCUCUUUUUUUUUUUUUUAUUUUUACUUUUUAAAUUAUAGUAGAGACGUGUGCUUCUUUAAUAGACUUCUGUAGUGGAAAAUGUCUGGCUCUCAAUUACACUUUCCUUCAAGCUUAGCAUUGUGAAAGAUAAAGCAUCAAGAAAUCUUUAAAAAAUACAAAAUCAUUCUAUUCCAUUUAAUGGGCAUGCCUAGAAACCAACUCCUUGUAGGCCAUCAAAAGAGUAUAGCACUGUAUGUUGUGUGUGUAUGUCUAGGGAUAACCUAUUUAAAGGAAAACAUCAACGUCUUUAACAACUUUUGAAGGUUAUUUUCAUAACACACUAAGACAAAAAUAAAAGAUAUAUUACGAGUCA
rnacentral:lncRNA from 1 species